rnacentral:rRNA from 1 species
UGGUAAAUUUUGGCCAAUGGGCGCAAGCCUGAUCCCGCCAUGCCGCGUGCGGGAAGAAGGCCUUCGGGUUGUAAACCGCUUUUGUCAGGGAAGAAAUCCUUUGAGCUAAUACCUCGGGGGGAUGACGGUACCUGAAGAAUAAGCACCGGCUAACUACGUGCCAGCAGCCGCGGUAAUACGUAGGGUGCAAGCGUCAAUCGGAAUACUGGGCGUAAAGCGUGCGCAGGCGGUUUUGUAAGACAGAGGUGAAAUCCCCGGGCUCAACCUGGGAACUGCCUUUGUGACUGCAAGGCUGGAGUGAGGCAGAGGGGGAUGGAAUUCCGCGUGUAUUAGUGAAAUUCGUAGAUAUGCGGAGGAACACCGAUGGCGAAGGCAAUCCCCUGGGCCUGCACUGACGCUCAUGCACGAAAGCGUGGGGAGCAAACA